rnacentral:rRNA from 1 species
GAUGAACGCUGGCGGCGUGCCUAACACAUGCAAGUCGAGCGAUUUACUUCGGUAAAGAGCGGCGGACGGGUGAGUAACGCGUGGGUAACCUGCCUCAUACACAUGGAUAACAUACCGAAAGGUAUGCUAAUACAGGAUAAUAUAAGAGAUUCACAUGGAUUUUUUAUCAAAGCUCCGGCGGUAUGAGAUGGACCCGCGUCUGAUUAGCUAGUUGGUAAGGUAAUGGCUUACCAAGGCGACGAUCAGUAGCCGACCUGAGAGGGUGAUCGGCCACAUUGGAACUGAGACACGGCCCAAACUCCUACGGGAGGCAGCAGUGGGGAAUAUUGCACAAUGGGCGAAAGCCUGAUGCAGCAACGCCGCGUGAGUGAUGAAGGCCUUCGGGUCGUAAAACUCUGUCCUCAAGGAAGAUAAUGACGGUACUUGAGGAGGAAGCCCCGGCUAACUACGUGCCAGCAGCCGCCGUAA